UUAUAAUUUUUUUUUUUUUUUAUUUUUGUUGUUAUUUAUUUAUUUUUAAUUGGAUUUGUUGACUUACAAGCCUAUUUAUGCGUUGUAAUAUUAUCAUUAUUAUUAUAUGGUAUUUUUUUUUAUUUGAACGAUUCAUCCACGUUAAUAAAUAAGUUAUAACUACUAAAAAAAAAAAAAAUUAUAUAUAUAUAUAUAUAUCUACAUGGAAUGCUUGUUUGUGUCAUGGGUACUUUACUAUUCAAAGUACCUGAGCUUAGUACUUACCUAUUUAAUUAUGAUUUUUUGCGUAUGAAAAGCAUCUAACGCUUCUUUCUGCAAACACGAUUUUUUUGGACUGCUGAGUUAAAACCUCAUAACCGCAUUUUUUAACGCAAACAGUGAACGAUUAGGGACGAAUUAUCAACUGUUUUUAAGCAGAUGUCAGUUUCAAUACAACUAGCUACAAAUUCUAGCAACAGUACGGUUGGACAAAUAAAAUAUAUUCAAUAAAACAUAUGUGAUAGUACAAUUACGCAUUCUGUUUUGUUCCUCCA